GGGGAAUAUUGCACAAUGGAGGAAACUCUGAUGCAGCAACGCCGCGUGAGUGAUGAAGGUCUUCGGAUUGUAAAGCUCUGUCUUCUGGGACGAUAAUGACGGUACCAGAGGAGGAAGCCACGGCUAACUACGUGCCAGCAGCCGCGGUAAUACGUAGGUGGCAAGCGUUGUCCGGAAUUACUGGGCGUAAAGGGUGCGCAGGCGGACAUUUAAGUGAGAUGUGAAAUCCCCGGGCUUAACUUGGGGGCUGCAUUUCAAACUGGAUGUCUAGAGUGCAGGAGAGGAAAGCAGAAUUCCUAGUGUAGCGGUGAAAUGCGUAGAGAUUAGGAAGAAUACCAGUGGCGAAGGCGGCUUUCUGGACUGUAACUGACGCUGAGGCAUGAAAGCGUGGGGAGCAAAC
rnacentral:rRNA from 1 species